rnacentral:rRNA from 1 species
UAAACUUUUAUUUUAAAUCAUGUUAUAAAAUAAUAUUCUGAAGCAUCUAUACACUUAGUACACGUGACAGACCAUUAGUAUUAAGCUAUCUAAAAAUACCGCAAGGGAAAAUAAAAUAUUAAUAUAAAGUAGCAACAAUAGCGUACUUUUUGCAUCACGAUCCAGCAAGUAUUAAACAAGUAUUUGUAAUCUCGAAAAUUAGUGAGCUACUGUUUUUUGGCCUAUUAGAGCCUAAGUUCUAAAUGUAGCAAAAUUUAAACUAAAAGAAGCAGUAGAGAUGAAAUUUCAUCCGCACUAAUGAUAGCUAGUUUUCUUAAAAAAGUAUUAAAGUGCUCAGGAAGAAUAAGCUAUAAGUAACUAGGUAUUCAUAACUUAUCUUCCAUUAAUAUUUUUGAGGAUAAGCUCGAAAAUAAUUUUGAGAAAAAUAUAAUGCAUUCUAAUUGUGUGGGCCUAAAAUUAGCCAACAUAAAAGUUUGUUAUAAAAUAAUUAUUUAUUUAAAAAUAUUACUAUAUUUCCUUCCUAUAAAACUUAUAAGAAUAAAAUUUUUAAUCAAUUUAAAUCUUUCGCCUAUGCUAGAAUGAGUAUUUUAAAUAAUUAUAAGUGAAAUAACCCGCACCCCCAUAAUUUAUUUUUAAACUAAAUUAGAAAAAAGGAAUUCGGCAAAAAAGUUGUUUCGCCUGUUUAUCAAAAACAUGGCUCUUUGUUUUUUCUGCAUAAAGAGUCGAACCUGCCCAGUGAAAUUUUUUAACGGCCGCGGUACUUUGACCGUGCAAAGGUAGCAUAAUCAUUUGCCUUAUAAUUGAAGGCUAGUAUGAAUGGUUUAACGAAAGCAACGCUGUCUCUAUUCUAUUUCAUAGAAAUUAACUUAUAGGUGAAGAGGCCUAUACUAGAUUGAAGGACAAGAAGACCCUGUCGAGCUUAAAAGACAAUACAAAAAUUACUUAUUUCAAAAAAUAAAUAAAUUGUAAAGCUUUUUAGUUGGGGCGACUAAGGAACAAUCAAAGCUUCUUGCAUCAUUUCACAACCUAUUAGUCUUGAUCCAGUAUAAACCGAUUAAAAAAAUUAGUUACCGCAGGGAUAACAGCAUAAUCUCCCUUAAGAGACCGCAUCGAAAGGGGGGGUUGUGACCUCGAUGUUGGACUAGAAUAUCCUGAAGGUGCAGACGUCUUCGAAGGUUGGUCUGUUCGACCAUCAAAAUUCUACGUGAUCUGAGUUCA